CCAUAAGCGCCGGCUCGUCUGUGACGCUUCCCGGCUUCAGCACGCAGUUCUGCAAACUCUUUUUAGCAUGAUGUUUUUACAUGACUUCAUGCACAAGGAUCUUGGCUCCAGUUCCGCCUUUUCCCUGCAGUUCUCUAAUGGCCCUGACAGAAGUACUAACCCUGGUUACUAGUGACAUUUUCUCUGCCAGCAUCUCACCAGUAAAUGCAAGUGUUUAAAUUUUCUGAAACCAAGUACAGUAUUAUUUUAAAGGUUCUUUUAACUCUAAAAAUGAAAAUUUGUUUACAGUUCUGUUACAUCCAUAAAUAACUCUGUCAUUAGCAAAUGCAAAACAAAUUAUUAUGGAGAAUGUAGCUUAAACACAGCCUGCCACACUAAAUUUAAUUAAAAACUGGUGUGUAUCUAAAUUAUUUUCUACCUUCACUGGGAUGUGUGUGUUCAACAAGGAAACCGACCAGGCAGGCCAGGAAAUUGUGGAAGGACUGUCAGCUCCUUUGAGCGCUGUGUUCAAAUAUAUGUCUAAUCCAAUUAAACCCGAGUAAGUGGUCAGAGGCUGUCAUGCUCUCCCAACAACUGCUCCCGUGGCAGAACUCGGUGCAGCGUUUCAGUGAAGCUCUGCAGUUGCUGAGAUAGGCAGAGCAGAUGGGAGUGGUAUCAAUCAGUUUUCAGCCUGCUUAAAUACACUGCCAUUACCUGCACUUAAUGUUGGGUCUUUUGCCUUAAUAAGGUGACAUAAAAGCCUCAAUUUUGGAAAGCACAUAAACGUGUUUUAUGAAAAUUAUGAGUUCCAUGAUCAAAAUGAAGGGGGAGAAGAGGUGAUACUUAUUAAAAAAAGAUAGCAGAUAAUGAGAAGCAGAAGGAAGAAAACCUUUUUAUUUCAAAUAGAAAUCAAAGCACUGCUGAGAAGAGUUUGUGUAAGCAGAAAUAGGAAUAUUAAGAAAAAGCUAAGCCAUUAGCUAAGUCAGUGUAAAUACGUCAUGGUUUGGACUGUCUCCAUCUUCAGUCAAGUUCAGGAGUCACAUGAAUGAGUUCAUCCUACAAUCAGGAUCUAGAAAUUCCCUGCACUGUUACUCGUUCCUGCUUUAACUGUUAAUUCUUGUUCUGUAAAUAGGUCUCUUGAAAAGGGAACAUUGUACCACAGGGCCCCUGAGCCCUGGGAUCAGCAGUGCUGGGUCAGGCUGAGGACAAACACCAUGGAGCUGCCCCAUGGUGCCCCUC
rnacentral:lncRNA from 1 species